GACAGAGGGUGCAAACGUUGCUCGGAAUUACUGGGCGUAAAGGGCGUGUAGGCGGGGAAGGCAAGUCGGGCGUGAAAUCCCCAGGCUCAACCUGGGAACUGCACUCGAAACUGCCUUUCUUGAGUGUCGGAGAGGAAAGCGGAAUUCCUGGUGUAGAGGUGAAAUUCGUAGAUAUCAGGAGGAACACCAGUGGCGAAGGCGGCUUUCUGGACGAUAACUGACGCUGAGACGCGAAAGCGUGGGGAGCAAACAGG
rnacentral:rRNA from 1 species